GGUGAACGCUGGCGGCAGGCCUAACACAUGCAAGUCGAACGGCAGCACCGGGGAGCUUGCUCCCUGGGUGGCGAGUGGCGGACGGGUGGGGAAUACAUCGGCAUCUACCCUGUCGUGGGGGAGAACGUAGGGGAACUUACGCUGAUACCGCAGACGCCCUCCGGGUGAAAGCAGGGGAUCGCAAGACCUUGCGCGUUUGGAAGAGCCGGGGUCAGUUUAGCUAGUUGGCGGGGUACAGGCCCACCAAGGCGACGAUCGGUAGCUGGUCUGAGAGGAUGAUCAGCCACACUGGAAGUGAGAGACGGUCCAGACUGCUACGGGAGGCAGCAGUGGGGAAUAUUGGACAAUGGGCGAAAGCCUGAUCCAGCCAUGCCGCGUGGGUUAAGAAGGCCUUCGGGUUGUAAAGCCGUUUUGUUGGGAAAGAAAACCUUCCGGUUAAUACCCGGAGAGAAUGACGGUACCCAAAGAAUAAGCACCGGCUAACUUCGUG
rnacentral:rRNA from 1 species